AGUGAACGCUGGCGGUAUGCCUAACACAUGCAAGUCGAACGGCAGCACAGUAAGAGCUUGCUCUUACGGGUGGCGAGUGGCGGACGUGAGAGGUAUACAUCGGAAUCUUCUUUUUCGUGGAGGAUAACGUAGGUAAACUUACGCUAAUAUCGCAUACGACCUACGGUUGAAAGCAGGGGAUCGUCUGACCUUUCGCGAUUGAAUUAGCCGAUGUCGGCUUAGCUCGUUGGCAGGGUAAAGGCCCACCAAGGCGACGAUCCGUAGCUGGUCUGAGAGGAUGAACAGCCACAAUGGAAGAGAGACACGGUCCAGAGGCCUAGGGGCGGAAGCAGUGGGGAAUAUUGAACAAUGGGCGCAAGUCUGAUCCAGCCAUGCGGCGGGGGUGAAGACGACCUUCGGGUUGUACAGCCCUCUUGUUGAGAAAGAAAAGCAGCAGGUUAAUCUCCAGCUGUUCUGACGGUACCCAAAGAAUAAGCACGGGCGAACUUCGUG
rnacentral:rRNA from 1 species